rnacentral:rRNA from 1 species
GUGCACGCUGGCGGUAGGCCUAACACCUGCCAGUCGAACGGCAGCACAGUAAGAGCUUGCUCUUACGGGUGGCGAGUGGCGGACGGGUGAGGAAUACAUCGGAAUCUACUUUUUCGUGGGGGAUAACGUAGGGAAACUUACGCUAAUACCGCAUACGACCUACGGGUGAAAGCAGGGGAUCUUCGGACCUUGCGCGAUUGAAUGAGCCGAUGUCGGAUUAGCUAGUUGGCGGGGUAAAGGCCCACCAAGGCGACGAUCCGUAGCUGGUCUGAGAGGAUGAUCAGCCACACUGGAACUGAGACACGGUCCAGACUCCUACGGGAGGCAGCAGUGGGGAAUAUUGGGCAAUGGGCGCAAGCCUGAUCCAGCCAUACCGCGUGGGUGAAGAAGGCCUUCGGGUUGUAAAGCCCUUUUGUUGGGAAAGAAAAGCAGCAGGUUAAUACCCCGCUGUUCUGACGGUACCCAAAGAAUAAGCACCGGCUAACUUCGUG